CAGGGUGAGCCAGCUUCGGGAUUGCAACUGAGAAGUGGGACUAUUAAAAGAAAGUCAUGCCCAGGUGGCUCACCAAGCUGGAGAAGGGACAAGAGACCUCUGGAGCUUCGCCUUUAUAGCUGAUUGCUUUUUGAAUCCCAGCCAUCCCAGCCUCCACAGUCUGAAGCAGAAACAUCUCAUCCAAACUGCAUUUGUGUGAGCAAGAAAUAAAUGCAGACAGUUAUAUGCCAAGGAGAUUUUAUAGUUGCUUGUUAUGUAAUAACAAUGACUAAUAGAGAAAUGAUUGAAGAGUACUGAAUCACAACAUUACUAGCUCAACCUGCUCCCCAGAAAAUUGCUAAUAAAGACAAUAAUAACAAGAA